AACGCACCUUGCGCUCCAAGGGUCACCGAGGAGCAUGCCUGUUUGAGUGUCUUGAAUUUCUCAACCCUUUGAGCUUGUCACCGAGCUCUUUGGCGUUGGACUUGGAGGUCUUGUUGGCGUUUGACGUCGACUCCUCUGGAAUGCAUUAGUGGGGGCUUUGCGCCUGACCCAGUAGCGGUGUAAUAGUUAUUACCACUGCGAACGCGUCAGGUCAUUCUCUGCUUCUAACCGUCUGCAAGGACAACAUUUCACUCUUUGACCUCAAAUCAGGUAGGACUACCCGCUGAACUUAA
rnacentral:misc_RNA from 1 species